GCAUUCUCAGAUGUAGUGAGGAUGAUUAUCAAAAUCAACUACUCUGUGUGUUACCCAACACAAAUCACAGACAAACAACAACAACAAAACACACUCCAAAACUACAGGUUUUUUUUUUGUGUUCAGUUUUGUUUCAAAAUAAAAAAUAAUCACACAUCAUUGUUUAGAGAGACAAUCUACAACAGGAGAUACAAAAAAAAUAGUUGCCCAGGCAACAAGCACACACACAGGUUUCUGUUAGAACUAUACACAUUAUGGUUACAGAAGAUGCUCCUAUUCAGAUACACAAGGCUCGCCACUUCAAAAUGUACACAUGCCGCUGCCCACCGCAGUAGUCCUGGUUACGGACGGCGAGACAGGCGACGCCCGGCCUUUACCGGGGGACAUUAUGAUACAUCACUUUUACAGGACUAUUAUUAAAGGUACAAACAAAAAAAGCAGACCACGCUGCUGCCGUCUUUUGUACAACCCACGGUUUCACUGUACCCUGAGGAGAGCAGAGGGGUUCGAGGUAGACUCAGCCAUAUGACAUGGUAACACAGCGGGAGCUACUUCCUGCUUCCAGACAUCAGUAACAACACAAGUCAUAUAUUAUAUCCCGAGACCACCACUGACCGCUCUUCCCAAUGUGGGCGUCACGCCUCAAGAGAAGAACCAAUAGUGGUAGUCUUGGCAGAUCGUUGUUGAUGUCUACAAGCCGGGAAGUCGCCCCGGUGUGUUACCAUGUCAUAUCACUGAGUCAACCUUUAAACUCAUCGCCCCCCACCCCAUCCAUUACCCUUAGACAAGGGGAAAGCAUUCCUAUAAAAUAUCUAAAAAUACAAAAACACAAGCAGACUGCUAACAGUGUGUCCUGUGGUGGCGGUUACAACCCCCAAACUACACUGUAAACAUCUCGCGUGUGUUCUGUAGCGUGUGUUCUGUAGCGUGUGUUCUGUAGCGUGUGUUCUGUAGCGUGUGUUCUGUAGCGUGUGUUCUGUAAGGUGUGUUCUGUAGCGUGUGUUCUGUAGCGUGUGUUCUGUAGCGUGUGUUCUGUAGCGUGUCGUCUGUAGCGUGUGUUCUGUAGCGUGUGUUCUGUAGCGUGUGUUCUGUAGCGUGUGUUCUGUAGCGUGUGUUCUGUAGCGUGUGUUCUGUAGCGUGUGUUCUGUAGCGUGUUCUGUAGCGUGUGUUCUGUAGCGUGUGUUCUGUAGCGUGUGUUCUGUAAGGUGUGUUCUGUAGCGUGUGUUCUGUAGCGUGUGUUCUGUAAGGUGUGUUCUGUAGCGUGUGUUCUGUAGCGUGUGUUCUGUAAGGUGUGUUCUGUAAGUGUGUUCUGUAGCGUGUGUUCUGUAAGGUGUGUUCUGUAGCGUGUGUUCUGUAGGUGUGUUCUGUAGCGUGUGUUCUGUAAGGUGUGUUCUGUAGCGUGUGUUCUGUAAGGUGUGUUCUGUAGCGUGUGUUCUGUAACGUGUGUUCUGUAGCGUGUGUUCUGUAGCGUGUGUUCUGUAGCGUGUGUUCUGUAAGGUGUGUUCUGUAGCGUGUGUUCUGUAGCGUGUGUUCUGUAAGGUGUGUUCUGUAGCGUGUGUUCUGUAGCGUGUGUUCUGUAGCGUGUGUUCUGUAGCGUGUGUUCUGUAGCGUGUGUUCUGUAGCGUGUGUUCUGUAGCGUGUGUUCUGUAGCGUGUUCUGUAGCGUGUGUUCUGUAGCGUGUGUUCUGUAACGUGUGUUCUGUAGCGUGUGUUCUGUAGCGUGUGUUCUGUAGCGUGUGUUCUGUAGCGUGUGUUCUGUGUUCUGCGUGUGUUCUGUAGCGUGUGUUCUGUAGCGUGUGUUCUGUAGCGUGUGUUCUGUAGCGUGUGUUCUGUAGCGUGUGUUCUGUAGCGUGUGUUCUGUGUGUUCUGUAACGUGUGUGUGUUCUGUAACGUGUGUUCUGUAGCGUGUGUUCUGUAGCGUGUGUUCUGUAGCGUGUGUUCUGUAGCGUGUGUUCUGUAGCGUGUGUGCUGUAAUGUUUUGACUGCUACAGAACAGGCGGAAACCCAGAGUCACUGUCAGCUGUUGACGCUUCAGUCAGAUGCCAUGUCUCACUCUCUGUAAUUUAUAUAGACUUGUGUAAAAAAUAAAAGAGUCUCUUCACUACUGACAUGUUGGUGUACCACGUCUCGUUGACUUCAGUGGUAACUGUGGCGUAAUGGACGUUUAGUAAACGGACAGGGAGCGUUUGCAGUGUAGUUCGGUGGAUGGGGUUGAGGUGGUGAGUUCUGUUGUUGAGGUGGUGAGUUCUGUUGUUGAGGUGGUGAGUUCUGUUGUUGAGGUGGUGAGUUCUGUUGUUAAGGUGGUGAGUUCUGUUGAGGUGGGGGGUGCUUUGUACAAGUACUACGCAGUAUAGAAAGGAAUUUUCAAAACCAAAAUUUGAUAUUACAAUUUACAAUAUACAACAACUCAUAUGUCACAAACAAGGAGGUGGGAAUAUGCAUCGAAAUGCACAGAGUUAAGAGUUUUUUUUAAACGUUUUGUUUUUUUAUAUAUAGAUAUACAUAUAUAUAUACAUAUAUAUAUAUAUCGUCUGAUACCAAAAAGGGUGGUAAAUCACGUUUACAUUACAAGGGUUUACAAAUGUACAAUUACACAGUCAGAAAUGUGUUCACUACUAGGAGACAUUAUAGAUAGUCAACAUCAAAAAACAGAAAAACUAAAGUUUUUUAUAUUUAUAUAUAUGCAAAGUUCUACACCAAGUAUACACGCGCUCUAUAUAUAUAUAUAGAUAGAAGCAGGACUGGAAACGAACCUCCCAUGUUAAAUGACUUGCUGGUAAGCACAUGGCUUGUGUGUUUGUAUAUGGGACGAUGAUUUGGUGACGUACUCAGUCAAAUUAAAUUACGUUCCAUCCCAUACUAGCGGUACGACACAGAACUGUGAUUGCCACAGCAGUAGCAAAACAGUGAAAUGAUUCUAGUUUAUACAAAAGACGAAUGAAGAAAAACAAAAACAGUGAGAAGGAACGAAGGGCAGGGACGUAUCUCACCUCCUCCCUGCAGCAGGGUAGGGACGUAUCUCACCUCCUCCCUGCAGCAGGGUAGGGACGUAUCUCACCUCCUC
ensembl:lncRNA